GACGAACGCUGGCGGCGUGCCUAAUACAUGCAAGUAGAACGCUGAAGGAGGAGCUUGCUUCUCUGGAUGAGUUGCGAACGGGUGAGUAACGCGUAGGUAACCUGCCUGGUAGCGGGGGAUAACUAUUGGAAACGAUAGCUAAUACCGCAUAAGAGUAGAUGUUGCAUGACAUUUGCUUAAAAGGUGCAAUUGCAUCACUACCAGAUGGACCUGCGUUGUAUUAGCUAGUUGGUGGGGUAACGGCUCACCAAGGCGACGAUACAUAGCCGACCUGAGAGGGUGAUCGGCCACACUGGGACUGAGACACGGCCCAGACUCCUACGGGAGGCAGCAGUAGGGAAUCUUCGGCAAUGGACGGAAGUCUGACCGAGCAACGCCGCGUGAGUGGAGAAGGUUUUCGGAUCGUAAAGCUCUGUUGUAAGAGAAGAACGAGUGUGAGAGUGGAAAGUUCACACUGUGACGGUAUCUUACCAGAAAGGGGCGGCUAACUACGUG
rnacentral:rRNA from 1 species